CCUGGUGUAGUGAUGUUUAUUUCUGGCAUUUUUGUGUAUGGGCUUGGACCCUUAUCAGGAAUAUUAGAUGGUGGUUCCUUAGUAAAUACUGACUGAAAUUGUUGGUUAAGAAUGUCUGCUUUUUCAGUAGUGUCUGUAACAAGUACACCUUCUUUUUUCAGAGGUGCAAUUCCUGUAUUAUCAUUUCUAGUGCUUUUGAUGAACUGAAAUAGCUUUUUGGUUUUGUGUUUGUGGACUGAUGUUGGUCCGGUUCAUUGAUUGGUAAAUCACAAAUAAUUUGUUCUAUGUAGUUCCAGUAUGCCUUCCUUUGUUCUUUUUGAAC
rnacentral:lncRNA from 1 species